rnacentral:rRNA from 1 species
CAGGCGGUCCUGCAAGUCUGGAGUGAAACGUAUGAGCUCAACUCAUGCAUGGCUCUGGAAACUGGAGGACUGGAGAGCAGGAGAGGGCGGUGGAACUCCAUGUGUAGCGGUAAAAUGCGUAGAUAUAUGGAAGAACACCAGUGGCGAAGGCGGCCGCCUGGCCUGUUGCUGACGCUGAGGCACGAAAGCGUGGGGAGCAAAUAGGAUUAGAUACCCUAGUAGUCCACGCCGUAAACGAUGAGGACCAAGUGUUGGGGGUGAAACCUCAGUGCUGAAGUUAACGCAGUGAGUCCUCCGCCUGGGGAGUAUGCACGCAAGUGUGAAACUCAAAGGAAUUGACGGGGGCCCGCACAAGCGGUGGAGUAUGUGGUUUAAUUCGAAGCAACGCGAAGAACCUUACCAGGCCUUGACAUGGGAUGCGAAGACGCAGAGAUGCGUUGGAGGUCAACAUCCACACAGGUGGUGCAUGGUUGUCGUCAGCUCGUGUCGUGAGAUGUUGGGUCAAGUCCCGCAACGAGCGCAACCCUUGUGGCAUGUUGCUAACAGGAAAGCUGAGGACUCAUGCCAGACUGCCGGUGACAAACCGGAGGAAGGCGGGGAUGACGUCAAAUCAUCAUGCCCCUUAUGGCCUGGGCUACACACGUACUACAAUGGCGGCUACAAAGAGCGGCGAGACAGUAAUGUCGAGCGAAUCUCAUAAAAGCCGUCCCAGUUCGGAUUGGAGCCUGCAACCCGGCUCCAUGAAGUUGGAAUCGCUAGUAAUCGCGGAUCAGCAUGCCGCGGUGAAUACGUUCCCGGGCCUUGCACACACCGCCCGUCAAG